rnacentral:rRNA from 1 species
GAUGAACGCUGGCGGCGUGCCUAAUACAUGCAAGUCGAGCGAACAGACGAGGAGCUUGCUCCUCUGACGUUAGCGGCGGACGGGUGAGUAACACGUGGAUAACCUCCCUAUAAGACUGGGAUAACUUCGGGAAACCGGAGCUAAUACCGGAUAAUAUAUUGAACCGCAUGGUUCAAUAGUUAAAGACGGUUUUGCUGUCACUUAUAGAUGGAUCCGCGCCGCAUUAGCUAGUUGGUAAGGUAACGGCUUACCAAGGCAACGAUGCGUAGCCGACCUGAGAGGGUGAGCGGCCACACUGGAACUGAGACACGGUCCAGACUCCUACGGGAGGCAGCAGUAGGGAAUCUACCGCAAUGGGCGAAAGCCUGACGGAGCAACGCCGCGUGAGUGAGGAAGGUCUUCGGAUCGUAAAACUCUGUUAUUAGGGAAGAACAAAUGUGUAAGUAACUAUGCACGUCUUGACGGUACCGAAUCAGAAAGCCACGGCUAACUACGUG